GUGACUGCGUACCUUUUGUAUAAUGGGUCAGCGACUUAUAUUCUGUAGCAAGGUUAACCGAAUAGGGGAGCCGCAGGGAAACCGAGUCUUAACCGGGCGUUAAGUUGCAGGGUAUAGACCCGAAACCCGGUGAUCUAGCCAUGGGCAGGUUGAAGGUUGGGUAACACUAACUGGAGGACCGAACCGACUAAUGUUGAAAAA
rnacentral:rRNA from 1 species